GACUCAGGGGCAUUUAACCACUGAGCCACAUCCCUAGACCGUAUUAUAUUUUAUUUAGAGACAGCGUCUUGGUAAGUUGCUGAGGCUGGCUUUGAACUCACAAUCCUCCUGCCUCAGCUUCCUGAGCUGCUGGGAUUACAGGAUGUCUGACCUGAAAGCAUGUCGCUGUCCACAACAGGAGAGCAGAAGAACAGGAAGCAGCUCAUUCCAAGAUCAGAGCUGCAGGAAGGACCCAGGUCUCUGGGCUGUGGCCCUGAAGUCAGGCUCUGUCGGUACAGGAACUGCUGUUCCCUGCAGCCUUCCCACACAGGGUUGGGGAGUGAAGAAAAGAAGGGUUGACUCUGAUUUGCAAACUGCCACAAGCGUGUCUUGCUUUUCUGUUAGAGUAAGAUGACUGUAAGGUUGAUGUGGUUAAUAUUUCAUUUUCAGGGCCAGGGUGCUGGCUGGGAGGACCAGGCAAAUCAACUGACAGUCAUGGAGGAAGAUAUGUUUAUUGGCUUCGUCGGGAACAGAAGGACAAAUGAAAGAUUUGAGGGCAGGAGGGACCUCAGCGAGUCUUCUAAUCCCUGUUUCAGCCUUCACUCAGCCAUGUUCUCAAGCAGAGAGCUGCUUUACCUGUUCUUCAAACAUGUUCCUUAAAUUUACCUUCCAUUUCUUUUUUUAAUUAAAAUUUAAUUUUAACUGAUACAUAAAAUUGUACAUAUUGAUGGGGUACUAUGUGAUAUUUUGAUACCUGUAUAUUCUGAGCAAUGUUUAAAUCAGUUUGAUAAAUAUCUUCUGAAACAA